AGUGAACGCUGGCGGUAGGCCUAGCACAUGCAAGUCGAACGGCAGCACAGUAAGAGCUUGCUCUUACGGGUGGCGAGUGGCGGACGGGUGAGGAAUACAUCGGAAUCUACUUUUUCGUGGGGGAUAACGUAGGGAAACUUACGCUAAUACCGCAUACGACCUACGGGUGAAAGCAGGGGAUCUUCGGACCUUGCGCGAUUGAAUGAGCCGAUGUCGGAUUAGCUAGUUGGCGGGGUAAAGGCCCACCAAGGCGACGAUCCGUAGCUGGGCUGAGGGGAUGAUCAGCCACAAUGGAACUGAGACACGGUCCAGACUCCUACGGGAGGCAGCAGUGGGGAAUAUUGGACAAUGGGCGCAAGCCUGAUCCAGCCAUACCGCGUGGGUCAAGAAGGCCUUCGGGUUGUAAAGCCCUUUUGUUGGGAAAGAAAAGCAGCAGGUUAAUACCCCGCUGUUCUGACGGUACCCAAAGAAUAAGCACCGGCUAACUUCGU
rnacentral:rRNA from 1 species